rnacentral:rRNA from 1 species
UAACACGUGGGUAACCUGCCUGUAAGACUGGGAUAACUCCGGGAAACCGGAGCUAAUACCGGAUAGUUCCUUGAACCGCAUGGUUCAAGGAUGAAAGACGGUUUCGGCUGUCACUUACAGAUGGACCCGCGGCGCAUUAGCUAGUUGGUGGGGUAAUGGCUCACCAAGGCGACGAUGCGUAGCCGACCUGAGAGGGUGAUCGGCCACACUGGGACUGAGACACGGCCCAGACUCCUACGGGAGGCAGCAGUAGGGAAUCUUCCGCAAUGGACGAAAGUCUGACGGAGCAACGCCGCGUGAGUGAUGAAGGUUUUCGGAUCGUAAAGCUCUGUUGUUAGGGAAGAACAAGUGCGAGAGUAACUGCUCGCACCUUGACGGUACCUAACCAGAAAGCCACGGCUAACUACGUGCCAGCAGCCGCGGUAAUACGUAGGUGGCAAGCGUUGUCCGGAAUUAUUGGGCGUAAAGGGCUCGCAGGCGGUUUCUUAAGUCUGAUGUGAAAGCCCCCGGCUCAACCGGGGAGGGUCAUUGGAAACUGGGAAACUUGAGUGCAGAAGAGGAGAGUGGAAUUCCACGUGUAGCGGUGAAAUGCGUAGAGAUGUGGAGGAACACCAGUGGCGAAGGCGACUCUCUGGUCUGUAACUGACGCUGAGGAGCGAAAGCGUGGGGAGCGAACAGGAUUAGAUACCCUGGUAGUCCACGCCGUAAACGAUGAGUGCUAAGUGUUAGGGGGUUUCCGCCCCUUAGUGCUGCAGCUAACGCAUUAAGCACUCCGCCUGGGGAGUACGGUCGCAAGACUGAAACUCAAAGGAAUUGACGGGGGCCCGCACAAGCGGUGGAGCAUGUGGUUUAAUUCGAAGCAACGCGAAGAACCUUACCAGGUCUUGACAUCCUCUGACAACCCUAGAGAUAGGGCUUUCCCUUCGGGGACAGAGUGACAGGUGGUGCAUGGUUGUCGUCAGCUCGUGUCGUGAGAUGUUGGGUUAAGUCCCGCAACGAGCGCAACCCUUGAUCUUAGUUGCCAGCAUUUAGUUGGGCACUCUAAGGUGACUGCCGGUGACAAACCGGAGGAAGGUGGGGAUGACGUCAAAUCAUCAUGCCCCUUAUGACCUGGGCUACACACGUGCUACAAUGGACAGAACAAAGGGCUGCGAGACCGCAAGGUUUAGCCAAUCCCAUAAAUCUGUUCUCAGUUCGGAUCGCAGUCUGCAACUCGACUGCGUGAAGCUGGAAUUAGUAGUAAUCGCGGAUCAG